AACUCCGUGCCAGCAGCCAAGGUAAUACGGAGGGUGCAAGCGUUACUCGGAAUCACUGGGCGUAAAGGGCGCGUAGGCUGAUUAUCAAGUCUCUUGUGAAAUCUAAUGGCUUAACCAUUAAACUGCUUUGGAAACUGAUAGUCUAGAGUGAGGGAGAGGCAGAUGGAAUUGGUGGUGUAGGGGUAAAAUCCGUAGAUAUAACCAAGAAUACCCAUUGCGAAGGCGAUCUGCUGGAACUCAACUGACGAUAAGGCGCGAAAGCG
rnacentral:rRNA from 1 species